GAUGGGAUGUGGGGCUCUCUCUGUCCUGGUGGGUGAGGUGGCAUGGAGCCCUGGCGCAGUGGGGGAUGUGCUGUGGAUAUUUGGGUUUUUCUGCAGGGCAGUAGGGAGCUGCCGGAUCACUGCCCCCUUCCCCCUGGACUCUGGGGGGACAAGGAGCCAGUUUGGGACUGAGCAAUGCCAGGGAGCUGCAAUCCACCCCUCUGCCUUCUCUGGGGCACGAUUUGGGGAUUGUCUUUGGGCAGUGGCGACCGAGGCUUCACUCCCCUUGGUUUGUGUCCCGCAUCCUGGGCUCUGGGAGGGUCCAGGUGCUGCUGUUUGGGCUCAGAUGUCCCCAAGGGGAUGGUGGCAUAGCCCUGGAGUGCUUGCACCCCUCCAGAGGCAGGCAGAGGUCCCUCAGCGUGGUCAUGCCGUGUCCCCAUGGCUGAGGCACAAAUGUGCCCCGUGUCCUCUGUAGGUGUCACCUGUAUUUUCCAUGAUAUUUCUCUCUCUUCUUCGUCGGGUCGGGGGGGCUGGGGUGGGGGAUGUUUCUAAUAUCCAGCCAAGAUUUGUUCAGCACCAAUUCUUGAUAUCGAAGCAAAGCAUGUUUGAUGGGACUAACUUGCAUUUAUUAGCGGUAAAUACAUGAGUGAGUAUUUUAUAUGUUAAAAAAAACAAAAACAAAACCAAACAAACUGGGAAAAAAAGAAAAAAAAAAAAAAAAAAAAGAUGUCAGGAGAAAGAGAAGGGAUGAGAUUUCUUUCCUCACCGCUCGGUGUCCGGGCUGGGGGGCUGCCUUGCCCCCCACCGGUGGGGCUUUGGGUAUUGCUGGGGGUGGGCAGGGGGGCAGGCAGCUUUCUCCUUUCCCCAUCUCCCCUGGAAUCACUUACAGAAAAAAAACAGGCAAAGGAAAGCUAGAAAUGUUUACAAAGCACACUUCCCACACUGCAGUACCGUUAACCCUCUGGAUGCCAAACAGACACAUCAGGAGCUGCUCCCUCCCUGCUCCCCGCGGGGCUCAGGGGUGGCGGCUCCCACAGCAUCGUCCUGCUCCCCGUGGUUUCUUUACUUUGGUUUUUUUUGGACACCAUCCCCGCUGCAUCCAUCCGCGUGCCCCUGCCCGGAGCUUGCUGUCCAGGGGGGGUUUGCUUCUUCCCCCUCCCUCCCAGGCUCUUCCCGCUGGGCUGGGAGCUCUGGGAAGCGCCUGUCUCUGCUCUGGCUCGGUGGGAGAUGCUGGCACUCACUCCUUGCCCUCCCAGAUGCACUUUAAGGCCAAACUUCCCUUUUUUUCCUUCUCUGGGGCUGGCACAGAGCAGGCAGGGGAUGCUCCCGUGGCCCCAGGGGUGCAGGACCUUCCACAUCUCUGCAGGCUCCGGUCCCUUGGCAUUCCCCACGUGGGGAAGCCCUUUGGAAAUCCUGGGAAUGCCCACGUUGCCGCAAGGUUCAUCCUUUGGGCACUUGGGGAUCACAGCUGCACGCCAGCUCCUCGGGGAGCAGCCCUGGAUCCCCCCGGGAGCAUCUCCAGCUCUCCCAUGGGAGCAUCGCUGGCUCUCCAGGGGAGCCCAGACUUUUUAAUCCCCUUUUCAUAGGUUUGUAGACUCUCUGAACCCUCACAGACCUCCCCAGGUAGCUCUUGAUUUAAUCCCCUCCUAACCCCAUAGUGUUUUCCCCUAAGGCAGGAUUUUCUUCUGGACCCAACGCGUCUCUGGUUGCGUGGGACAACUUUUUCCUCUCUUUAAGAAGAAUUUCUUGCCUCUGGAUAUAAAGACUAGACCAUCCAACCUCGUUUCCAUCUCUUGAAUGUCGAGUAUUACGAUGUAUAACACACGUUAGGGUGCUCUUUGGUGCUGUUUCAAUGGUAACCAGUGGAACUGACUUUUUAAAAUAACAAUAACAAUAAAAGAAACUUUAGUGCCGCUGGUUCCAUAACGUUCGUUGUCAUGACUUUUAUUUUUUUUUUUUUCUCUUUAUGGAAGUUUUGUUAGGGUUUUGUUGGUUUUUUUUUCUUAAUUAUUUUUUAAUUUUUACUAAACAGUGAGUAGCGAUCAGCUGCCGGGUUUCUGUGGUGUUGAUUUUAGUGACUGGUGGCUGCUGUGAGCUGGGCGGGCUGCGUCACAAUUUGGUGGGAUUUGGGAUCAAGUCGCUUCAUUUUGGAACUGCACACAGCAAAACGAGCAUUUGAUGGGAGCCCAGACGGCAACUAGAGGGUUAAUUUUUGAACUUUCAGGUAUGUUCCUCAGAAGAAAAUAAAAAUAAUUAAAAAAAAUAAUAAUAAUAAAAAAAAAUAAGAGAAACAAAACACUAUUUUUUCAGUAAGCUUUUUUUUUCUGUAAACGAUUUACAAAUAAAUCUGACAUGAUGGUGCUGUACCAAAGCCUUAUACGAAACUUAUUCCGCUCUCUCUAUAAUCUCUCUGUAUCUGUAUUGUUGCUCUCGGCCUCGCCAAGGCCAGGAAAUGCCAGCAGGAGGGACCGAUGGCCACGCUGGGCAUCGGCAUCCCUGGAAUUCCCCGGGAUGGGAAUCCUCAUUCCCGGGAAUUCCCGGCCCGCGGGGAGGGAAAGCCAAAUUUCAGCAUCGCUCCCCAGGCGUGCGAUGAGGGGCACAAGUGGGGGUCCCUCACCCCAAACUCUCCUUCCGACUGGGUGCUACCCUGCCCUGGGCAGGGAUCCGAGACCUCGCCGGGAGCGCUGCCCGCUGCUCCCGGCAUCCCCACGGCGGCUCCGAGGGGCUUUCACCCCUCCGAGCCCCCUCCUCCGGGGGAUUUUACAUCUUCCAGCUCAGCCCGACCUCCGCAGUGCUCAGCCAAGGCAGACCCCGGCUCCUGCCCUCUCCCAGCCCUUCCCCUGGGGCCGGCCCGGAGCUGGGGCUGCUUUGAUAGCUCGAAGCAAUAAUCCCACUCUGCCAAGAAAGUUGGGUCCUUUUGGCUCUUGGACUGUUGUCAGUUAAUGAGUAAAUGCUCAUAAGCCAACAAAAAGUGGAAGAAAUGAGAGUUUGAAGCCCUGCCUUACUGGGAGUAAGCCCCUCGGUCUCUGCCUGUUGGAAUUUUAAGGCCUGCUGAGUACUUAAUUUAUCGCCGGUAACAUUGCAUGUUCAUAGAUUGACUUCUUGAGUUGAUUCUUCUUAUUUUAGUGUACCCACUAUAAGAAAUUCUGGCAGUGUUGCAAUGUUACGUACAACUAGCCAUGCUGUAGGAGAAUGAUGGGUUUUGGAAUCGAUUAACUUGCUCCUCAUGUAACAUUACCCUGCUUCAGAAAUGUUUUGUAUUUUGAUAUAAAUAAACAUUUGCUAAAAAAAAAAAUAUAUCUAUAAAAA
ensembl:lncRNA